rnacentral:rRNA from 1 species
GUCUAUGGCCCACCACCCUGAAUGUGCCUGAUCUCAUCUGAUCUCGGAAGCCAAGCAGAGUUGGGCAUGGUUAGUGCUUGUAUCGGAGACC